rnacentral:tRNA from 1 species
GCCUGGAUGGCUCAGUCGGUAAGCGCCUGACUUUGGCUCAGGUGGUCUCACGAUUUGUGAGUUAGAGCCCCACAUCGGGCU